AUAGUAGUAGGGUCUUUUAGAUUAUAAAUAAGGGCUUGUACGAGAGUAGGAGUAAGCUGUAAGAAAAUCUAUCUUUGUUGUAUAAAGUUUAUCUAAGAAACUUGUCUAAGUCCUUUAGGAUUUAGUUGUUGGCACCUUGGUUCUUUUCUCUUGCAAUCACUUUUCUAUCAAUAAAAUUCAUCCUUCCACUUACUCAAAUUUAUUUAAUCCUCUUAUUACUACAUAUUAUCCACUUAUUACUACAUCUAUAUCCACCACUAAUCCUACUUAGAGCUACGGAAGCAGCGGUGGACCAAACACUAAUUCAUCGAAUAUCAUAAGCAAAUUACUCUACAUUUUAACAUGCUUGACGAGCCAACCCAUGUGGACUAACAACAAAAAUAACAAAGUUACGACUAUAAGAUCAUAAUGAGGAUGGGAGGCGGCCGGUAGCUAAAAAUUCAUUUAUUUAAAAGUAUAACUGCUUACAGCUCAAGGGACAGUUCUCAUAUAAUAACAUUAGUACAUAGUAGCUACAGAGGAAGAAAGGAAACAAUCAUAGUAUCAUAAUUGAUCCCAACAAGCAAAGAUACAAGAUUACUAGCAAACUUAAGAGAUUGAUAACUCACAUUUGUUAUAUCUAUGUUUGGAUCUUCCAUAGACAUGAAAACGACAUAUGAAAUCCUCAUGAUUGUAUGGAUAUAAUUAUACUCCUCAUGAUUAUUAUUUGCAA